rnacentral:misc_RNA from 1 species
GAUGAAGAACGCAGUGAAAUGCGAUACUUGGUGUGAAUUGCAGAAUCCCGUGAACCAUCGAGUCUUUGAACGCAAGUUGCGCCCGAAGCCUCGGCUAAGGGCACGUCUGCCUGGGCGUCACGCAUCGCGUCUCCCCCAAACCGCCAAGGCGGAGGGGAAGGAAGAUGGCUUCCCGUGCCUCACCCGGGCGCGGUUGGCCUAAAUUUGGAGCCCGCGGCACUUAGCUCUCGCGGCGAUAGGUGGUGAACAAGGCCUUGGCCGUGCAAACAACCCGCUGCGAAGCUCUAUGUCACGUGCGCUCGUCGGACCCUUUGAAGUUGCCUUCGGUGACUUAAAACCUUUGCGACCCCAGGUCAGGCGGGGCUACCCGCUGAAUUUAAGCAUAUCAAUAAGCGGAGGA